GGGACGGUGGCGGCGUCUUCCAGUUCCAGCCAAAUUAAGUCACAGAGUUUUGUUUCUAGAGGUCCCGUCCUCCAGAGUCCUGCCGCCUGCGACUCACUGGCCCGUGGCCCCUCUGUUUCCUCAUCUGUCAUGGACUGAGGGGCCGUUGGGAUCGAGGGCCCUGCAGCCUCUGAUUCUCGUGGCUCUGUGCGUAAUGAACAUAGACACAGCCGUGACCCAGGUGGCAGCCGUCACCCUGUCAUGCGUUCUGGGAGGACGGCGCCCGGGUCUGGGGUGUGAGGGUGAUUUGUCUUCUUUCUGUUUUUCUUUUCUGGCCACGCCCACAGCAUGUGGACGUUCCCGGGCCAGGGAUCAAACCCCAGCCACUGAGGUGACAAUGCCAGAUCCCUGACCUGCAGCGCCGCCAGGGAACUCCCUGUUCUCGCUGUUGAACACUCAUUUGGCUUUAAUUUCCCCCGUGAGCGGGAGAGGCUGGGCUGCGCUGCAGUGGACCUCUGGCCCGUGGAGGGGGCGCUGCCUCUCGCCCCCCCCCCAGAGCCGCUGUUGUCCCCAGCAUCAGCUGUUGUACUGUCCUUCACGUUGCUGGCUUGGGGUGUCCUGUCCACCUGGUCUCCUUCGCGUGGAAGCCCUUUGUCUCCUUGUCUCGGGUCCGCAGCACUUGAGCCGGUGCCAUUUGCUGGCCAGCAGGAUGCCCGCCUCGUGGGAUUCUCAGCAACGCACGCGCUGUUCUCUUGAGGGCCACCAGGGUAAUAAGCCUGGGCCGGUGCGCUCGCAAGAGGCCCUUGUUUUGGGAAAGGAGAGCUCACCCGAGGUUGAAAGCGACUCUGACACCCUUUGUCAGGCAGCCCUGCCUCAGAUGAGGGCACAGCGGGAGUUGGGGGCUCCAAAUCCACCAGGCCUUCGGGUGUCUGACAGUGCAGUUUAUCAUUUACUGGUUUUUUAAUGGCUGCGCCCUUGGCACAUGGAAGUUCCCGGGCUGGGGAUUGAAUCCAAGCUGCAGCGACAGCCUCUGCUGCAGCUGAGGCAGUGCCGCCUCCUUUAACCCACUGUAUCCGGCCGGGGAUCAAACCUGUGCCUUUGCAGCUACCCGAGCUGCCAUAGUCGGAUUCUCAACCCACCGCAGCACCACAGGGACUCAGUUUUAAAUGGCACGCGCACCCUGGCUCCCACAAAGCUUCUCUGACUGACUUACUAAAACGGGGAGAGACCGAUGAUCCCUGAAGAUGUGCCGCAGGUUGCCACACCUGUGGAAGCCAUCGCAGAAGUGGAGGCUCAGGGACGAGGUCACGGUCUGGUCUGCUCUGGUCUGGUGAGGGUCAUGUGCGGAGCCUGCGCUGCAGCACACAGAGGGCUGGUGCCGUUCCUGCCGUGCCCGAUGGAGGGAGGGAGCCGCUGCCACAGGUGGGGCUUUAGGCUUGACUGUAUGCGAUUUUGCGCUGGCCCAUGGGGCUUUGUGCAGUGGGAGCAAAGUCCUGUGUUGUCCAGCACAGUAGCCCACUGGCUACAUGCAGACGCUGUGUGACGGGUGGGACUGAGGAACUGGGGCUUUUAAUUUCAAUUUUCUUUUCUUGCUUUUGAGGGCUGCCCCCCAGCAUAUGGAGGUUCUCAGGCCAGGGGUUGAAUCUGAGCUGCAGGUGCCGGCCUACAUCCCAGCCACAGCAACGCAGGAUCCUUAACCCACUGAGUGAGGCCAGGGAUGGAACUCGUGUCCUCAUGGAUACUAGUUGAGUUCGUUGACUGCUGAGCCACGGUGGGAACUCCAGACUUCUAGAUUUCAUUUCUUUUGUUUCUCAGGAUUUUUAUUUUCUCGUGAUGCUCAGCCCCCAGGCUACACUUGGUUGCUGGGUGGGUAGGAACCAGAUGGGACCAGGAAGUGGAUGGCAAAGCUCCUGAUUAGCUCAUUAGGAAAAUAUUUUACCAUAAUCUGCAUUGCUUUAGCUUUUUUUUUUUUUUUUUUUUUUUAAGGGCCACCCCUGUGGCUUAUGGAAGUUUCCCCCAGGCCAGGGUUGAAUCAGAGCUGCAGCUGCCUGCCUACACCACAGCCACAGCAACGCAGGGUCCGAGCCGAGUCUGUG
rnacentral:lncRNA from 1 species